rnacentral:rRNA from 1 species
AUUGAACGCUGGCGGCAGGCCUAACACAUGCAAGUCGAACGAGUGGCGGACGGGUUAGUAAUGUCUGGGAAACUGCCUGAUGGAGGGGGAUAACUACUGGAAACGGUAGCUACUACCGCAUACCCUCAGAUGUUCCCAGAUUUGAUUAGCUAGUUGGUGGGGUACAGGCUCACCAAGGCGACGAUCCCUAGCUGGUCUGAGAGGAUGACAAGCCACAAUGGAACGGAGACACGGUCCAGAGUCCGACGGGAGGCAGCAGUGGGGAAUAUUGCACAAUGGGCGCAAGCCUGAUGCAGCCAGGCCGCGUGUAUGAAGAAGGCCUUCGGGUUGGAAAGUACUUUCAGCGGGGAGGCGUUACCCGCAGAAGAAGCACCGGCUAACUCCGUGCCAGCAGCCGCGGUAAUUC